rnacentral:rRNA from 2 species
GACGAAGGGGGCUAGCGUUGUUCGGAAUUACUGGGCGUAAAGCGCGUGUAGGCGGUUGUCCAAGUCGGGUGUGAAAGCCUUGAGCUCAACUCAAGAAAUGCACUCGAUACUGGGCGACUCGAGUGCCGGAGAGGAUAGUGGAAUUCCCAGUGUAGUGGUGAAAUACGUAGAGAUUGGGAAGAACACCAGUGGCGAAGGCGGCUAUCUGGACGGUUACUGACGCUAAGACGCGAAAGCGUGGGGAGCAAACAGG